rnacentral:misc_RNA from 1 species
AACCUAGCACACCUGCGGUGUGUACCUGCGGAGGGAUCAUUAUCGAGUUACCACUCUAUAACCCUUUGUGAACAUACCUACAUGUUGCUUCGGCGGUCGGCCCCCCGGGCCCCCGGCCCCGCUCACGCGGGGCGUUCGCCGGAGGAUAACCAAACUCUGAUUUAACGACGUUUCUUCUGAGUGGCACAAGCAAAUAAUCAAAACUUUUAACAAUGGAUCU